rnacentral:rRNA from 1 species
GACAGAGGGUGCAAACGUUUGUUCGGAAUUACUGGGCGUAAAGCGCGUGUAGGCGGCUAAGCAAGUCGGGGCGUGAAAUCCCAUGGCUCAACCAUGGAAGUGCACCCGAAACUGCAUAGCUAGAGUCCUGGAGAGGAAGGUGGAAUGCUUGGUGUAGAGGUGAAAAUUCGUAGAUAUCAAGCGGAACACCGGUGGCGAAGGCGGCCUUCUGGACAGUGACUGACGCUGAGACGCGAAAAGCGUGGGGGAGCAAACAGG